rnacentral:rRNA from 1 species
ACGAACGCUGGCGGCGUGCUUAACACAUGCAAGUCGAACGGAAAGGCCCUGCUUUUGUGGGGUGCUCGAGUGGCGAACGGGUGAGUAACACGUGAGUAACCUGCCCUUGACUUUGGGAUAACUUCAGGAAACUGGGGCUAAUACCGGAUAGGAGCUCCUGCUGCAUGGUGGGGGUUGGAAAGUUUCGGCGGUUGGGGAUGGACUCGCGGCUUAUCAGCUUGUUGGUGGGGUAGUGGCUUACCAAGGCUUUGACGGGUAGCCGGCCUGAGAGGGUGACCGGCCACAUUGGGACUGAGAUACGGCCCAGACUCCUACGGGAGGCAGCAGUGGGGAAUAUUGCACAAUGGGCGGAAGCCUGAUGCAGCAAAGCCGCGUGCGGGAUGACGGCCUUCGGGUUGUAAACCGCUUUCGCCUGUGACGAAGCGUGAGUGACGGUAAUGGGUAAAGAAGCACCGGCUAACUACGUG